rnacentral:rRNA from 1 species
UACGAAGGGGGCUAGCGUUGUUCGGAAUUACUGGGCGUAAAGCGUGCGCAGGCGGCUUCUCAAGUCAGAGGUGAAAGCCCAGAGCUCAACUCUGGAAUUGCCUUUUGAGACUGAGUGGCUUGAGUACGAGAGAGGUGAGUGGAAUUCCCAGUGUAGAGGUGAAAAUUCGUAGAUAUCGUGAGGAACACCAGAGGCGAAGGCGGCUACCUGGACAAUUGCUGACGCUCAGGCACGAAAAGCGUGG